GAGUUUGAUCUUGGCUCAGGAUGAACGCUGGCGGCGUGCCUAAUACAUGCAAGUCGAGCGAACGGACGAGAAGCUUGCUUCUCUGAUGUUAGCGGCGGACGGGUGAGUAACACGUGGAUAACCUACCUAUAAGACUGGGAUAACUUCGGGAAACCGGAGCUAAUACCGGAUAAUAUUUUGAACCGCAUGGUUCAAAAGUGAAAGACGGUCUUGCUGUCACUUAUAGAUGGAUCCGCGCUGCAUUAGCUAGUUGGUUAAGGUAACGGCUUACCAAGGCAACGAUGCAUAGCCGACCUGAGAGGGUGAUCGGCCACACUGGAACUGAGACACGGUCCAGACUCCUACGGGAGGCAGCAGUAGGGAAUCUUCCGCAAUGGGCGAAAGCCUGACGGAGCAACGCCGCGUGAGUGAUGAAGGUCUUCGGAUCGUAAAACUCUGUUAUUAGGGAAGAACAUAUGUGUAAGUAACUGUGCACAUCUUGACGGUACCUAAUCAGAAAGCC
rnacentral:rRNA from 1 species